GAUGCAGUCUGGCUGCUCCCCGGGCCUGGAGGGCUGCCCGUCUCCUCCGAUUUGACAUUGAUUGAAUUAGUCCAACCUCAGCCUUCUCCAGGCCAUGCAAACUCAAAGCCUCAGAAAUGUAGAUAGGGAGAGGGUGAGGGGCUCACUCGACUGCUUCUAACCGUGGCAGGUGACAGCACUCCAUUGGUUAAACACAACUCAGACAGGGAAAUUGGAAGCUCAGCAACAGAGGCUGGACGUAUUUGGAAGGUCUGGAAGAGAGGAGAUUUGGCCACAGGCUUGUUGGGGCCGUGGGUGUCAGAUUCCUAGGGCUGCCAGAAUAAAGGACCACAAGCUGGGUGACCAGGUGACUCAACACGAAGUGUGUGGUCUCCCAGCUCAGGAGGCUGGAGGCCUGAAGUCAAGGUGUUGGCCGAGCGUCUGUCUCUGUGCCCGAAUUUCCCCCUUUCAUUAAGAUGCUGCGUAUGUUGGACUAGGGCCCAGCCUCAUCACCUCGUCUUAAGUAAUUAUAUCUGCACUGACCCUGUUUCUAAAUAUGGUCACAUUCUGAGACAUGUCUGCUGAAAAAAAGCACAACCUGCAGGGUGAGAGUUUUGUGUUAUUCUGUGAGCAUUCUGAGGACGUCAAGCCUGGGAGAUGGGACCCUGAGAUGACUCCGAGGGACUAUU